GUGCUUACUUCAGCAGCACAUAUACUAAAAUUAGAAUGCAAUGGAGAAGAUCAGCAUGGACCCUGGGCAAGGAUGACAGCAAAUGUAUGAAGGGUUUCAUACUUUU